rnacentral:misc_RNA from 1 species
CUCACCGCGGUCUCCGCAAGGUG